UACAGAGGGUGCGAGCGUUGUUCGGAAUUAUUGGGCGUAAAGGGCGCGUAGGCGGCGCCACAAGUCACCUGUGAAAACUCUGGGCUCAACCCAGAGCCUGCAGGCGAAACUGUGGUGCUGGAGUAUGGGAGAGGUGCGUGGAAUUCCCGGUGUAGCGGUGAAAUGCUUAGAUAUGACAUAGAACACCAAUUGCGAAGGCAGCUUACUACGCAACGAUUGACGCUGAGGCACGAAAGCGUGGGGAUCAAACAGG
rnacentral:rRNA from 1 species